rnacentral:tRNA from 1 species
UGCCGGGUCGUCUAAUGGUAGGACACGGGCCUUUGAAGCCCGGCAUCCAGGUCCGAAUCCUGGCCCGGCAA